rnacentral:rRNA from 1 species
AUCGAACGCUGGCGGCAGGCUUAACACAUGCAAGUCGAGCGGUAACAGAGAGAAGCUUGCUUCUCUGCUGACGAGCGGCGGACGGGUGAGUAAUGCCUAGGAAUCUGCCUAGUAGUGGGGGAUAACUUGCCGAAAGGUAAGCUAAUACCGCAUACGUCCUACGGGAGAAAGGAGGGGACCUUCGGGCCUUUCGCUAUUAGAUGAGCCUAGGUCGGAUUAGUUAGUUGGGGAGGUAAUGGCUCACCAAGACCGCGAUCCGUAACUGGUCUGAGAGGAUGAUCAGUCACACUGGAACUGAGACACGGUCCAGACUCCUACGGGAGGCAGCAGUGGGGAAUAUUGGACAAUGGGGGGAACCCCGAUCCAGCCAUGCCGCGUGUGUGAAGAAGGUCUUAGGAUUGUAAAGCACUUUAAGUUGGGAGGAAGAGCAGUUAACUAAUAUUUGACUGUUUUGACGUUACCGACAGAAUAAGCACCGGCUAACUUCGUGCCAGCAGCCGCCGUAA